rnacentral:lncRNA from 12 species
AUGUAUAGCUUGAUCUGGGAAGCACAUUCAUACUGUUGGACCACCUGUUACCGGAACAUGACAUGUUCAGAAAUAGGAGCCUCCAAAAUAGAAGCAUUUAUCCAGCCUUGCACUGGUCUGCAGGAAAGAGGAAGAAAGGAACAAAGCACAGGAAUUUUGAUAGAUUACCACUGCCUAUCUGAGGGACAUAGACUGCUGGCUGUUAACAAUCAACCAGAGAACUUCCCCUGCAUGGUGUGGAAAAGAGGCUGGAAGGAGAAGACUGGCAUGUCCCAGCACUUGACGGCUAGAUUGUGUCUCACACAAUGUUGCUAGAGCUUGCUUACAGCAUCUGCCAGCUGUCUUGUUUAGAGCAUGAUCCUAAUAGGGGUCCAAGGAGGAAGAGAUAAUAGCGGAGACAAAUUAACUUACUGCAAUACUCUCAAUCAAGGUUUUAGUAUUUUUUUCCCCACCAUCCAUAAAUCUGAAAAGUUGUCACUGUAGAAUUAGGUCCCCUAGAAGCCAAGAGUUCAGAUUGCUUAACAAAGUCCCAUUUUUCCUUUGGGGUUGAGUCUUUCAUCUUUCCUAUUGGAAAAAAAAUAAAACAAAAAUAAAACUAUCUUAGUCUCUCUUA